ensembl:snRNA U6 U6 spliceosomal RNA
GUGCUUGCUUCAGCAGCAUAUAUGCUAAAAUUGGAAUAUGGAGAAGAUUAGCAUGGCCCCUGCACAAGGAUGACACACAAAUUCAUGAAGCAUUCCAUAUGUUU